rnacentral:rRNA from 1 species
GAUGAACGCUAGCGGCAGGCCUAAUACAUGCAAGUCAAGGGGCUCGCAAGAGCACCGGCGGACGGGUGCGUAACGCGUACACAACGUACCUCAGAGCGGGGGAUAGCAUUGGGAAACUGGUGGUAAAACCCCAUGGUGUUGCUGAAUGGCAUCAUUUAGCAACUAAAGUUUACACUUUGAGAUCGGUGUGCGUCUGAUUAGCUAGUUGGCGGGGUAACGGCCCACCAAGGCGACGAUCAGUAGGGGGUGUGAGAGCAUGACCCCCCACAUGGGUACUGAGACACGGACCCAACUCCUACGGGAGGCAGCAGUAAGGAAUAUUGGACAAUGGGCGCAAGCCUGA